ACGGGAGGCAGCAGUGGGGAAUAUUGGACAAUGGGGGAAACCCUGAUCCAGUGACGCCGCGUGAGUGAAGAAGUAUUUCGGUAUGUAAAGCUCUAUCAGCAAGGAAGAAAAUGACGGUACUUGACUAAGAAGCUCCGGCUAACUACGUGCCAGCAGCCGCGGUAAUACGUAUGGAGCAAGCGUUAUCCGGAUUUACUGGGUGUAAAGGGAGCGUAGACGGUUUUGCAAGUCAGAAGUGAAAGCCCGGGGCUCAACCCCGGGACUGCUUUUGAAACUGUAGAGCUAGAGUACAGGAGAGGUAAGCGGAAUUCCUAGUGUAGCGGUGAAAUGCGUAGAUAUUAGGAGGAACACCAGUGGCGAAGGCGGCUUACUGGACUGUAACUGACGUUGGGGCUCGAAAGCGUGGGGAGUAAACAGGAUUAGAUACCCUGGUA
rnacentral:rRNA from 1 species